CAGGGGGCUCAGGUCCACACACUCAGCCAGUGAACCACUGCAUUUAUUCUGCCCUUGGGUGGAUUGUCACCUAAUUUCUAAAAUAAUUUUUUCCUUUUGGUUUGUCAUAGUGCUUUUGUGAUGUAAUACUCUUCAUGGCCAUUUUUGUAUUCAAACAAAGGUGGAAACUUCCAUUGAUUUUUGAAAAAAUUUAUACAUGAUGGAAGAAUCCAAAAACCCUCAAAAGAUCAACCUUAAGCUUCUUAGAGUUAAAAGUUAAAAUAUAGGUUUAAUUUUUCUGUAUUUUGGUGGCUAAAAUACAGGUAAUGUGACUUUUUCUUUAGAUUUUGAUGGGGAAAAUAAGCCCAUGAGCCUAUAUAGUGAAAUGGAACUGGA
rnacentral:lncRNA from 1 species